rnacentral:rRNA from 1 species
AAUAGAUACCCAGGUAGUCCACGCCGUAAACGAUGAGUGCUAAGUGUUAGAGGGUUUCCGCCCUUUAGUGCUGCAGCUAACGCAUUAAGCACUCCGCCUGGGGAGUACGGUCGCAAGACUGAAACUCAAAGGAAUUGACGGGGGCCCGCACAAGCGGUGGAGCAUGUGGUUUAAUUCGAAGCAACGCGAAGAACCUUACCAGGUCUUGACAUCCCACUGACCGGUAUAGAGAUAUACCUUUCCCUUCGGGGACAGUGGUGACAGGUGGUGCAUGGUUGUCGUCAGCUCGUGUCGUGAGAUGUUGGGUUAAGUCCCGCAACGAGCGCAACCCUUGAUCUUAGUUGCCAGCAUUUAGUUGGGCACUCUAAGGUGACUGCCGGUGACAAACCGGAGGAAGGUGGGGAUGACGUCAAAUCAUCAUGCCCCUUAUGACCUGGGCUACACACGUGCUACAAUGGAUGGUACAAAGGGCUGCAAGACUGCGAAGUCAAGCCAAUCCCAUAAAACCAUUCUCAGUUCAGAUUGCG